CAUAACUUGCCAACCAUACAUGAGAAAUUCAUGUUCUUGGACUUUUUGGAAAGGUGAGAGCAAGAUCUACAACUUUCAUGUUGAACAAAAUUUCAUUUGAAGCAUUUUUGGACACGUAAUUUUGAGGAGGAAAACUUUCCAUUUUUGGCAGUUUUCAAUUACAAGUCACUUUCUAUUUUUGGAAAGUUUCCAUCUGAUUU
rnacentral:lncRNA from 1 species